CGAUGCAUACUAGGCAAUGGUGCGGCUAUGAGCCGCAUCAGUACCGUAGGGAAACCGUUAAGUGUGCCGCCUGGGAAGUACGGUCGCAAGGCUAAAACUUAAAGGAAUUGGCGGGGGAGCACCACAAGGGGUGAAGCCUGCGGUUCAAUUGGACUCAACGCCGGGAAACUUACCAGGGGAGACAGCAGAAUGACAGUCAGGUUGACGACCUUACUCGACGAGCUGAGAGGAGGUGCAUGGCCGUCGCCAGUUCGUGCUGUGAGGUAUCCUGUUAAGUCAGGCAACGAACGAGAUCCGCGCCUUUAUUUGCCAUCAAGAAGUCACGACUUCGUUGGGAACACUAAAGGGACCGCCGUCGAUAAGACGGAGGAAGGAGCGGGCAAAGGCAGGUCAGUAUGCCCCGAAACCCCUGGGCUACACGCGGGCUGCAAUGGUGCGAACAAUGGGCUGUGACUCCGAAAGGAGAAACCAAUCCCGAAAUCGCAUCUCAGUGGGGAUUGUCGACUGUAACUCGUUGACAUGAACGUGGAAUCCCUAGUNAAUCGCGUGUCACCAUCGCGCGGUGAUACGUCUCUGCUCUUGCACACACCGCCC
rnacentral:rRNA from 1 species